UACGGAGGGUGCAAGCGUUAUCCGGAUUCACUGGGUUUAAAGGGUGCGUAGGCGGGCAGGUAAGUCCGUGGUGAAAUCUCUGAGCUUAACUCAGAAACUGCCAUGGAUACUAUUUGUCUUGAAUAUUGUGGAGGUAAGCGGAAUAUGUCAUGUAGCGGUGAAAUGCUUAGAUAUGACAUAGAACACCAAUUGCGAAGGCAGCUUACUACACAAUGAUUGACGCUGAGGCACGAAAGCGUGGGGAUCAAACAGG
rnacentral:rRNA from 1 species